rnacentral:rRNA from 1 species
AGAGCGAACGCUGGCGGCAGGCCUAACACAUGCAAGUCGAGCGGCCGUAGCAAUACGGCAGCGGCAGACGGGAUAGUAACACGUGGGAACGCGCCCUUCGGUUCGGAAUAACUCAGGGAAACUUGAGCUAAUACCGGAUACGCCCUUACGGGGAAAGAUUUAUUGCCGAAGGAACGGCCCGCGUCCGAUUAGCUAGUUGGUGAGGUAAUGGCUCACCAAGGCGACGAUCGGUAGCUGGUCUGAGAGGAUGACCAGCAUCACUGGGACUGAGACACGGCCCAGACUCCUACGGGAGGCAGCAGUGGGGAAUAUUGGACAAUGGGCGCAAGCCUGAUCCAGCCAUGCCGCGUGGAUGAUGAAGGCCCUAGGGUUGUAAAGUCCUUUUAACGGGGAAGAUAAUGACGGUACCCGUAGAAUAAGCCCGGCUAACUUCGUGCCAGCAGCCGC